UGACAGUACUCCUACGGGGAGGCAGCAGUCGGGGGAAUAUUGCACAAUGGGCGCAAGCCUGAUGCAGCCAUGCCGCGUGUAUGAAGAAGGCCUUCGGGUUGUAAAGGUACUUUCAGCAGUGAGGAAGGUGGAUAUGUUAAUAGCAUAUUCAUUUGACGUUAGCUGCAGAAGAAGCACCGGCUAACUCCGUGCCAGCAGCCGCGGUAAUACGGAGGGUGCGAGCGUUAAUCGGAAUUACUGGGCGUAAAGCGCAUGCAGGUGGUUUGUUAAGUCAGAUGUGAAAGCCCGGGGCUCAACCUCGGAAUUGCAUUUGAAACUGGCAAACUAGAGUACUGUAGAGGGGGGUAGGAAUUUCAGGUGUAGCGGUGAAAUGCGUAGAGAUCUGAAGGAAUACCGGUGGCGAAGGCGGCCCCCUGGACAGAUACUGACACUCAGAUGCGAAAGCGUGGGGAGCAAACAGGAUUAGAUACCCUGGUAG
rnacentral:rRNA from 1 species